rnacentral:siRNA from 1 species
GAUAGCUAGUGUUCGUAGGC